GGGAGGUAGAGGUUAGAGUGAGCCGAGAUCAUGCCACUGCAUUCCAGCCUGGGCGAAAAUGCCACUAAUAUCACUUACAUAAUAUUAAUAUAUAUUUGAAGUAGGGGAAAACCUGGAAGAUUCCUCACCAAAGUUUUGACAGUGACUCCAGAGACUGGGAUAACUUUGUGACUUUCAUUUCCUCUUAAAUGUUGUGCCAGGGUCUGACCGGCAGACCCAGGCUGCACGAUGGAUGAAUAAUGUACUCAGACACCGAUAUUCAGUGAAAGAGUGCACCAGAGGGCCAGGCCACUCACAGAAAGGGUUGUGGCAGCUGCGUGCCCUGACUAUCUGGCCCUGUGGGCCUUUAUUCAGCACAGAUUUAAUGACAAAGGCUUUGAGUCAACACACCUGUGGGUAAUUAAUCUGGUCGCAGUCCCCCGGAGAGAGCAGUCCUACAAAUGAUCAAAGGAGCUGGGACAGUUAUAUUCAUCAGAACAGCACGGUGUCAAGGCCCUCACCCCCAGAAAGCUUAGGAGACACUGUUUUAUGGAGGAGAGUGAGAUUGGAGGAAGCCCUGACUCCAGGUCUCCUGAUCCUUCCUACACAAAGCGAAGCUGAAAAAAAGUGCAGGACACUCCAUUUCCUCCUGGGACCAGACAGGGAAGCCAGAGCCACCAUGGAUGUCAAAUUCCGGCAAGGAAACACCAGUAUAGCAAAAUCUCCACAUCACAUUUUAAAGCUCACACAAUGGCUCAAAGAGAACCCACAUCAAAAAACCGAAUUCCUAGCUCAGGUGAGAUCACCAAAGUUGCCUGUGAGGCUUCGUGGAACCUGCAGGUAGAAAGGACAUCUUUAUUUCGAGCUGCAGCCCAGUUGCUUCUGCGUCUUGGAGCCCCUUGAAAGGACCCUCUCCCUUCAACAGUACAUAGGGAGGCCAUUUCUGGGGAGAAAUGUAGACUGUCCUUAGACUCCUGAGGUUUUUACACUUGCUUGCUGACUCUGUGGACUUUGACUUCAUCAUUAAACAUCUUAUAAUGAUGUAAUUUGCUUUGACUGUAAGUGUAGAACAGGACGCUGUUCCUGAAUCAGGAAACAAGGGACUGGUGACCUGAACUGCCACCACCCUCCCUGGUGCUCAGAUGCAAUGAAAUCGUGAGGCAACAAAUCUAUGGCUAGGUAAAGGGUCAACUCCAUUUCAGCAAAUGUUUCAGAUGUUCCUUCCUGCCUAGUAAUGUUCCAGCUUUACCCCAGCCUUAAUCUUUUAAAAUGUAUAUUUUCCUUAGCGUUGAUUUUAAAGUAAUUCGUAUGUAUUUAUUACACUGGGUUUGUUGCAGUAAGCCACCUCGAAUGUUGCUGUAGAAUUAAAGUAAGCAAAUAAAUGUGUGGUUCUCCAAGGA